AAGGAUCCGUCACCGUUACUUGGCGCCGUGACGGUGACUUUUCUUUGCCGAGUGCCAAAUGACACUCAGCAAAGUUUUUGCCGAGUGCCCGACAAAAAGUACUCGGCAAAGAAGCUGUUGCCGAUGUACAGUUCGCCGAGCGUUCUUUGCCGAGUGUUACACUCGGCAAAGCCUUUGCCGAGUGUAAAAUAGCGUUUGCCGUGUGUUUAGAACACACGGCAAAGAAGCUGAUUCCGGUAGUGGCUGGUUUGCGGUUCACGGGACCGGUCUGGUGGUGCACCGGAUCGCCCACUCCUACUAGUCGGUGUCAAUUUGUUGAUGCUAUUCUCCUCUCUCGAAGACCGAUCAGCAUGUCAGGCGGCGUAGAGCGUAGGAUUGUAGCGAGCGCUAGACAAUCAUGGUGGUAGAUGAUCUCCUCGCCUACCUCUGGAUCGACAGUGUUUGACCAGCCUGCCGUCUCCAAGUUCAACCGCAUAAACAUCGCCCACUCCUACUAGUCGGUGCGUGUGUGCAUAGAGAACUGAGUCUCGAUGACGAAAUAUCUCCAUAAUAGCACGGUAUGGAUCAUGACCUUAUGGCACCCUCUAUGUGGUGUUGGCGAGGGCAUGAUGUGGCGACCUUGUCGUCCUCCAUGACUAUCGUCCCGUGGAGCAGAACAAUGCUUUAUCUCCGGCUCAUUUGGCUCCGAUACAAAAUAUAAUGUUAGCUGGAACUCUUAUCCAACGAUGAUUGAAGCUUCGACGAGGAUGAACGGAUCACCAAGAACUCUCACGAACACGAUGAAUACUCUCCAUUUCUUAGUGUUGUACAGCCAGACUUAUUUUCUCCUUAUAUUAGCUAUUUAUUUAUCUGCAUCUUGACCCUAAAAAACAAACAACAAGACGGGUUAAGAUUAACGCGUAUCUCUAUAAGAAAGGAAAAAAGUACCAAAAUUCGGAAUUACAGAUCACGUGGGGCAGGCAGAUGAAUCCAUGGACAUGAUCGAUCACAGGUAGAAGUAGCAGCAGUACGUAGGGUGGCUCGUGAACCUCCCAGCAGGCCACGGGGCCAGCAGCCUGAUGCGGGCGUCGCUCCCUUCCACCCGCAUGUGAGCAGCGGCGGGGCCCGCCGGCGGCCGGCGAUGGAGGAUCGAUGGCCUCCGGUUCGGUCU
rnacentral:lncRNA from 1 species